rnacentral:rRNA from 1 species
CCUACGGGUGGCAGCAGUGGGGAAUAUUGGACAAUGGGCGAAAGCCUGAUCCAGCCAUGCCGCGUGUGUGAAGAAGGCCUUCGGGUUGUAAAGCACUUUCAGUGGGGAAGAAAGCCUUGGGGCUAAUACCCUCGAGGAAGGACAUCACCCACAGAAGAAGCACCGGCUAACUCCGUGCCAGCAGCCGCGGUAAGACGGAGGGUGCGAGCGUUAAUCGGAAUUACUGGGCGUAAAGCGCGCGUAGGCGGUCUGAUAAGCCGGUUGUGAAAGCCCCGGGCUCAACCUGGGAACGGCAUCCGGAACUGUCAGGCUAGAGUGCAGGAGAGGAAGGUAGAAUUCCCGGUGUAGCGGUGAAAUGCGUAGAGAUCGGGAGGAAUACCAGUGGCGAAGGCGGCCUUCUGGACUGACACUGACGCUGAGGUGCGAAAGCGUGGGUAGCAAACAGGAUUAGAUACCCCAGUAGUC